CGUGGGCAACCUGCCCGGAGGUGGGGGAUAACCCUUCGAAAGGAGGGCUAAUACCGCAUGAUAUCUCGAGCACUUAGGGGUUCGAGAUCAAAGCCAGCCUCUGCUUGCACGCUGGCGCCACCGGAGGGACCCGCGCCCCAUUAGCUUGUUGGUGAGGUAACGGCUCACCAAGGCCGCGAUGGGUAGCCGGCCUGAGAGGGUGAUCGGCCACACUGGAACUGAGAUACGGUCCAG
rnacentral:rRNA from 1 species